rnacentral:lncRNA from 1 species
AAGAAGUGUUACAGAUGAUCAUGAAGGAGCAAACAGCCAUGUUGUAAAUGGCCUCUGAGGAGGACUGGCCUCUAGGAGUUGAGGACCUCAAGCCUACAUCUGCAAGGAAUUGAACGAUGCCAAGAACCCGAACAAACUCUGAAGAUGAGAAUGCGGCCCUGGGAGGCUGUGAGGAUCUAGAGGAUACAGCUACGGAGAACAUGCUGGGUUCCUUGAGCUGCUAAGCACUGAAGUCCCACCAAUGGUGACGAAGGUCUAAGGAGAACAUUGCAAUUGCACAAAAUGAUCCUUGGAAAUUCUUUAGAAGGGCACCAUCUUGGAGACCCAGAAUCAAUAAAACCAGCAUGGCUGGGAGUUUUCUCCAGCAUUUGAAUAAAUUGUUGUUUCUUUGGUUGAACCAUGAUGAGAUAAUUGGCUUAAACCAGGAGUCAUGCAUGGUAUCUGGAAACUUCCUCACUUGAAUCACCAGCAUCAUACUCAGCAUGCAUAAUCCUCUCAUCAUGAGAGGCACAGGGGAAAUGAGCCAGCCUGUCUGGAAAGGAAGCAAAUGCAUGCUUUCCAUCUCCCACUCAGUACUGGACAUGAAGCUAUGUCAUCACCACUUAAUGCCAGCACCACUUAAAUGAUGUUUCUCUCUCUCUGCCCUGUACUUGCUGGAGGCACAUGCCCAUAUCACGUAGGGUGUCAGGGCAGAGAGCUCUUAGGAAGAGCUGAGCUGUGGGGACUUCCUCCCACGCAGAAGAGGGAGGCCUCUGCAGAAUUCUCUGCCAUGUGCUUCUAGGCUUCCUCAACUCAGAAAUUUUAUUAUAGAGUUUUAGAAUGUGAAGAGCUCUUGGAAAUCAUGAAAGAUGAAGAAUCAAGAUGGAAGUUUGAUGGCUUGUCCCAGGCCCCAGAGUGGACCCUUUGCUUUUUGGAAUCCAACAGCAAGGACUCAUGGGAAUAUCGUGGGAUUUGACUUGGAGAGACAGGGCUCAAACCUCAUCUUUGUCACUUAGUGAUUGUGUAAUUCUCUAAAAGUCUAUUUGUAGAAAAGGGAUAAGGGAGCUUUCUUUCCUGGAUUUCAAGAUGAUUAAAAGAGAUGUAUGUAUAAAGGGAUGCUCAGUUGUCUGAGCUGAGAUGACUGCAAAGUCACUGCACUCCUCUUACAAUGCCUGACAGGUGCUUCCAUCUUUGGGAGGUGUGGAGCCCUUGACAGGCACGUCAGCAGGGGGCAUUUGGGAGGGCAGCCUGCGAGGGUGAGGGGAUGCCAGUGGGCCAUACUGCAGAGGCAGAAACUUGGGGGAGGGGUCACAGGCGGUCAACUGAAGAAGGGGCUUGUGCCUGCAGAUGCUCCAAGAGGGGAGUCUAAGAGGAAUCCAGAAAAGUGUCCCCAAGAGAAAGAAUCUGACUUUAAUGUUAGCCGGACCCAGA